ACCAAAAGGAAGAAGCUCAAGAGUCAAACAAUGUAAAACCUAAGUUAAAAAGCACAUACUGUUUUAGAAAGUUCACUUCCAGAUUCCAUAAUUCGCAAACAUAAAGGGAUA